UACGUAGGGUGCAAGCGUUGUCCGGAAUUAUUGGGCGUAAAGAGCUCGUAGGCGGUUUUUCGCGUCUGCUGUGAAAUCCCCAGGCUCAACCUGGGAACUGCGUCCGAUACUGGCAGGCUUGAAUCCGGGAGAGGGAUGUGGAAUUCCCGGUGUAGCGGUGAAAUGCGUAGAUAUCUGGAGGAACACCGGUGGCGAAGGCGGCAUCCUGGACCGGCAUUGACGCUGAGGCGCGAAAGCUAGGGGAGCAAACGGG
rnacentral:rRNA from 1 species